rnacentral:rRNA from 1 species
UACGUAGGGUGCAAGCGUUAUCCGGAAUUAUUGGGCGUAAAGAGCUCGUAGGCGGUUUGUCGCGUCUGCUGUGAAAACCGGAGGCUCAACCUCCGGCCUGCAGUGGGUACGGGCAAACUAGAGUGCGGUAGGGGAGAUUGGAAUUCCUGGUGUAGCGGUGGAAUGCGCAGAUAUCAGGAGGAACACCCGUGGCGAAGGCGGCUCUCUGGGACGGUACUGACGCUGAGACGCGAAAGCGUGGGGAGCGAACAGG